CGUAGGUGGCGAGCGUUAUCCGGAAUUAUUGGGCGUAAAGAGGGAGCAGGCGGCACUAAGGGUCUGUGGUGAAAGAUCGAAGCUUAACUUCGGUAAGCCAUGGAAACCGUAGAGCUAGAGUGUGUGAGAGGAUCGUGGAAUUCCAUGUGUAGCGGUGAAAUGCGUAGAUAUAUGGAGGAACACCAGUGGCGAAGGCGACGAUCUGGCGCAUAACUGACGCUCAGUCCCGAAAGCGUGGGGAGCAAAUAGGAUU
rnacentral:rRNA from 1 species